ACUGCACGAGCCAGCAUUAAAAAAAAAAAAAAAAAGAAAAAAGGUUUCACCGCGUAAUUAAAACGGAUUAUGCAUUAGUUCCAUCGAAAAUACCUCCUAUUCUUGAUGGCGCCACAUCUUUGGGCAAGGCCGCGACGUGGAAGGAGAAAUGGCCGCCAGUGGAAAGUUCCCGCGCGGGCCAGACGUAUUAGCGGUUUAAUAUUAUGCAAGUUUGACGUGUUAUGCUAUAUACGGUGUGUUUGAACCUGAUUUAUCCAUCGACAAACACCCGUACGUUGAUUCAUGAUACCGUCAACAAUUAAUUCUCAGAGGCGGCAAUAAAUUUCCUCGUGCAAACACACGUAUAGUAUAAACGAAGUGAAAUAAAACUGGCACUUUGAAAUGACGACGAAACUUUCACCAUGCUCCAUACAUACAUAUAUAUCUCUUCUCCGUUUCUAUCUAUCUUUUUCGCGUAAAUUUCUGCAAACUGGCUUGCGAAAGAAACAACAAUCUAUGCUCGCCAAGGAAAUAAUAGUCUUUUUCAAUGCUUGUAAUUUGGAGAAGAAGACGAAAUCGAUCGAUGUGUUUCUUUUUUUAUUAUUAUUUCCUUUUUCAUAAUCUUGCUCUUCUUUUUUUCAGGUAGUCGAAAAGUAGGUUUCGUCGGUUCGUUUGAAAUCCCUCUUACGUUUGCUUCAAAGAGAGCUGAACUUCUUCCACUGUGAUUUCCUUUUGGUCUUUAGUAGCCUGUUAAACUGGAGGUACAGUUGCAGUACUUAUCCAUAUCGGACGAGUGGUAAAAGGAGACAAAUUGAAGCCCAUUCGGCGAGAAACGAAUGAAUCGAUACAUCGAUGAAUCGAACGGCCAUAGGGGAGGGCGAAAUAAUACGCGAAGGAAGAAUUUAACAGUUGUCGUAAUUUCUUAUGUCCGCCACGUUUUACGAUACGGGAUAUAUCCACGAGUCGCGGCACGUACGCUCGACUUGCGAUUUCGAUAUCCCGUUACAAGUGCAAAUAUUUGUCUGUAAACCCCUCGCAGGUUGCUGUUCCCUCUUUCUGCCUUUUUUUUUCUCCUUCUUUUCUCCCCCUUCUUCGAUACAAAGUUCGAGAUUCUUAAUCCGUGGAACGAUUAUGCUCGAAAAAUUUAGACAAGACGAAUUUUCUUAGAAAUUAUUAUUUCUUUAUUUCUAAUAUAUUUAUAUAUUGUUCGAUAUGUAUAUUAGUCAAUGGCUCUAUUACGUUUUGUAUUCUGGAUAAAGGAGACUCUUGUGAAUAUUAACAAACUUUUGCUAAUAAUAAUUCGACGAAGACAAGUAGCCUGAUUGCACAUUCAGAAAGAAUUUCUGAACGAUGAGAAAGUCUAUUAUAUUACAUCCUCCAAUUAUUUCGAGUAUAGUGAAGCGUUUGCAGGGAGAAGUAGACAACAACUAAGUCUACGGUAAAAGUGUUUUCAACCCUGUCCCUUCCAACAAUAAGAUUCCUGGCUAAGUCUCGCUAAACAUUUGUCAAGAGCAGGAGCAAACGAAACUAACUGUAACUUGGAGACACGUUACUUCAAUUUGUUUUCUCUUCUUUUUUUCUCUAAUAAACAAUCGUUCCUUCGCUCGAGAAGUAGAAUUUUUGCUUUUAAAAAGUUGGGACGAUUUUCGAAAGAAUGAUGAGAACGAAAGGAGAUGAUAAGAAACAGGUGUGGACUUUUUGCAAGAUCUUGGCAACUUAUGCUCCAAUUAAGGAACCGUGAGGAAAACGUUACGAGGCUUUGUAAGAAGUCACGUGGAGAGCGCGAUUUAGCAGGAAUUAAGUAAGUAUGAUACGCCAGUUUACGACGAUUAAUCACCGAUGAAAGAAACGAAAGAAAAGGGGCGGAAACUGGGCCAAAGCCUUUCUUCCACUUUUUGCCAAGAUUUUCUUUUUUCAAAGAAAUUACCACGAAGAAGAUUUUUACAGAUUUAACAGGUUUUACAAUCAUCGCUCUUUUAUUUUUUUCUCUUUUUUAUAUUAUUUUCGUGACGAGGAGGAAAGAGAGUUUUUUUUCCUCUUUCUUUUCUAUUUUUCUUCGGUUAUAUUUCGUGGAAGAUCGCGGAAUUUGCGAUACCGAGCAACGAGUCGCCAUUUUGGAGAACGAAUUACUCUCGUAUAAUAAAUUCUAUUUCUAUUUUUCUAUUUUAUUCCCGAUUUUCUACCGGGUUUCCAUUUCCCUUUCCUUUUUUCACAAUAGAUUCAACGAGGGAUCAUAAAAGAAAUAGAUUUCUCAAAAGAGAUUCCGCGCGAGAUCCCAACAACAAAUCGUCAUUUUUGCGCAGCACAAAAGGCCAAAUUUUACGUUUCCUAUGUAUACGGCUCCCUUCAAUUUUCUUCCACCCCGCCACAUUACGAAAUGAAAAGGCAAACGCAUAGCACGAUUUGGCGAGCGAGCUCGAGAGCAAUUUCCUUGGACACGACGACUCUUUCUCUCUCUCUUUUUCUGUUCAGAGAAAAUAAAACCAUGAAGAUAAGAAAAUCGUUUGGUAUAAUUCCAACUGUGUGUGGAUAGACUUUGGGACGUGAUUACGAGGAAUUUUUGUACAGUGGAAUUUUUUUUAAUGCUAAUCAAAUGGGUUCACGUAGGUUUCACCGAAGAGAGGGAAGGAGAAAGAGAGAGAAAGAAGGAGGUCGAGGAUGAGAACGACGCAUUAGGGAGUCGAUGAUGGCGUCAGAUGCUCGUUGCUUCCGCGUUUUUAUAAGCGAUAAUCGGGAAAAGUUUCGAGGAAAGGCGCUCUUCUCUGCCUCCCUCGUGCCUUCCUCCCUCCCAAAGAAAGCUGCUCUUUGAAAAGUAGAGGGAUAUUAAAGAGUCUGUUUCUCUCCCGACUAAAUCCGGGCAAGAAAUCUUUACGAAUCCUUUAAUCUUUACGAUCUCUGCUAAAAAAGAGAAAAAAGAAAGAAAGAAAAAAAGAAAUAAAAUUACAGCAGAAAUUGAUAUAUCAAUAACUGUUUACGCGUCAAUGCAUUAAAAGAAACUUUGGUUUAUUAAUCUUUUCAUAUCCUCAAAAUUUAAUAAUUCCAGAGAAUUUUUAUUAUUAGGUUGAGUAUAAAAGUUCUUUUCUUUUCCUUUUCUUAUUAUCUUAAAAAGUAUAUAAGUUUGAAUAUUCUGCAUCUUUUCGCAUAUUCACAAGAUUUUUCUCUCUUUAUAUACAGGAAUAAACAGAACAUUUAAACAAAGAUCAAAUUUUUCAACCCAAUUUAAAAGGAAUAAGUUCGUACAAAAUUCGUCUCGUCGUUCAAUAAUAUUAUCGCAUCAUUAACAAUUUUCAACUCGAGAAAAGAAUAAAAAUAAUAUCCUAUAUAUCCUGUAUAAAUAUUCGCUUCACUGACUCCAUCUUGAAGAUUCCAGACCCAAGAAAGCGAUCGCGAUCCAAGAGCGCCCCUUUCUUCCCCGAAUUUCAAGGAUAAUAUUGCAAAGAGGUGAGAUGCUGGGCAAACCAGUUUUCAAGGGGUGGGAAUAAUUUACAAGGGGAGUGUUUGUAUCGCCUCGGUGAAAAUCAACAGCAGGCGACGUUCAAACAUCUUCUUCAAACCGAUCCGAAUCUCUCGAUCGAGCCACUCCACGACUACGAUCAAACUGCGCUUUUCGUCGUUCCAUUCCCUCCCCCCCCCUCUCCUCUCAGGGGAGCGGCAGAUUUUCGGUUCUCUCGCAAACCUGUUCCCUCCUCGUUCGAAGAGAAGGAGGAGGAGGAGGCCAAGAGCGUCUCGGCAAGAGGCGAGCAGACAAGCGAGGACAAGGUGAGGGCUCGACCCGCCUCGACUAUUUUUACACUCGACACGCAGAUCUACUUGGCGCCGAUCUUGAACCUCGAUCUUCGCUCCUCGUCUUCCCUUAAAGCCUCCGUGAUUUAUUUUUCGAUCGAGGAAUUUUAUCCUCGGAGAGAAGAAUUCAGUGUUUAUGUAUUUUCUUGAUGUUUACUUCGUCCAAGCGUCUCUCUCUCGAUUUUUUUUUUUUUUUCGUUCGAAAGGAGAGGAGAAAUCGGCGAUGAGUGAGGAAUUGAAUGUAUAUUUUUUUCCCUUAUUGGAUCUUUCGCUAUAUUAUUUCGUUUCGAAGGGAAGAAUUUCUUUUUUUAUCUUUCACACGUAUCGAUUAUUAAUCGACGAGGUUGAAAAUAAUGUUAAAAUAUUAAAAUUAAUUAGCAAGUUGUCCGAGCGUUAUGAAAUUUCCGAUGGGGAGUAAUUUAAUUAAACGGGCGACAUAAUUUCGUAGAAUAAGUUUUAUUCGUAGAACAAUAUCAAUUGGAACUAGAUUAUAUUCGGUAAUUAAUAUUCAGCGUAAUUCAUAAGAGAAUCAAAUAAUGUAACUCUUUUUCUUUUUCUAGAAUCAAGCUUACUUUCGAAUGUUACACACAAUUUGCAAGCGUCAUCGAAGAAUUAAAAUCAAUAGCAAAUGCCAUCGUAAAUGUUAUAAUUUUUCGAAUAUCGUUUUUUCCAUUUUCUUUUUUAAACAAUAAAAAACCGUUAUUGCGAAACGAAAUAAGUUAUAUCGUACAUAUAUAUAUGAAAUAUGAAUCUCCAUGUAAAAUUCUCUCGUACGAUUUUUCACAAAAUAUAUAUCUUCAAAACACGUGUAACGAUAUUGUAUAUUAUUUUUGAAAACCAGCGCAUACGCGCUUGUGUGCACGUUGAGAUAUUUCCUCUACGAUACGUAAUCUAAAUAUAAACGUACAACAGCAUACAGAUGAGAACAAAAGGUUCCGUUGUGGGAAGAAGACGUCGCAGGGUGUCGCGUUCUUCUCGCGUUCCUCUCGCGUAAGGCAAGACAUAUUCUUCGCAAUAGAAAAUCACGCUGGCAAGUAAUAAUCGGCGUGGCCUCAAAUCGGCAUUGGCUAAUGGCUAAUAUCCGAGCGUUUCCUACCGGAACACGUGUCUACCAAUCGAACGAAUCUGCGAGUAUAAUGAGCUCCGUGGUUUCGUGUCGAGAAAAACGGAGAUCAUUUUCCAGAAUGAAUGGAAUUUAUUUUUAAAAAGGAAGAUGAUUCUCUCGUGAAAAUAUGGAGCAAGAUUCUUUACACGCAACACGUAUAUAUAUAUUCAAAUAAUUUAAUUCUUCUCGUAGAAAGAAGAAAUUUAAAGAAUACGAAAACAAAAUGGUCGUCAAAAUUUGUCCGCUCUUUUCGCGAGGAAACCGAGGGAUUAAAAAGAAGACUCGAAAAGAAAUUAGUUCUUCUUCUUCUUCUUCUUCUGGAACAAUUCUCCUCUUAAAGACGUUAAGAAAUAUCUAUUCAGCAAACAGACUCACCUUUCAAUUCCUCUUAUUACAACUUCACCGAUGUUUUCUCGCGCGGGUACCUCCUCUCAUUCCCUCCCGCAACGCGCGCACCAUCGAUUCAACUCUCCAAAGUAUCCCCGGAAGUCGGUGUAAACUUCGGCGAAACAACGUCCUCGGGCGGUCUUCUCCACAGCCGGUCUUCUGCACCGACACAACAGAAAAGAAAAACCGAUCCCGUAACACGUUCGCUCGGAUCGAUUCACCGCAGCAACUCCGAUCCCAUCUUCCCCGAUCGAACUUGUCAAUUAAUCGAUUAUCGUCGACGAGGAGAAUUAAAAAAAAA